rnacentral:rRNA from 1 species
GGGAUAACAGUUGGAAACGAUUGCUAAUACCGAAUAAAAUGUAAGAGUCAAUUUUACAUUGAAAGGAGCCUUUAAAGCUUCGCGAUUAGAUGGGCCUGCGGCGUAUUAACUAGUUGGUGAGGUAAUGGCUUACCAAGGUGACGAUGCGUAGCCGAACUGAGAGGUUGAUCGGCCACAUUGGGACUGAGACACGGCCCAAACUCCUACGGGAGACAGCAGUUAGGAAUAUUCGUCAAUGGAGGAAACUCUGAACGAGCAAUGCCGCGUGAGUGAUGAAGGUCUUAUAGAUUGUAAAACUCUGUUGUAUGGAAAAAACGACUAGGUUAGGAAAUGAACUUAGUGUGAUGGUACCAUACCAGAAAGCCCCGGCUAACUACGUGCCAGCAGCCGCGGUAAUACGUAGGGGGCGAGCGUUAUCCGGAUUUAUUGGGCGUAAAGCGUGUGUAGGCGGUUUAUUAAGUUUAAGAUUAAAGCCCGGGGCUCAACUCCGGUAAGUCUUAAAAACUGGUAGACUUGAGUACGGUAGAGGCAAACGGAAUUUCUAGUGUAGCGGUGAAAUGCGUAGAUAUUAGAAGGAACACCAGUGGCGAAAGCGGUUUGCUGGGCCGUUACUGACGCUGAGGCACGAAAGCGUGGGGAGCAAAUAGGAUUAGAUACCCUAGUAGUCCACGCCGUAAA